UUGUGUGAAACAAAAUGCUUUCGGGAGAACUGGACUGGCUGGUCUUACCGUACACGAGGAGGACGUUGUGUAGAGGUGGUCUUACCGUACACGAGGAGGACGUUGUGUAGAGCUGGUCUUACCGUACACGAGGAGGACGUUGUGUAGAGGUGGUCUACACUAGGAGGACGUUGUGUAGAGGUGGUCUACACUAGGAGGACGUUGUGUAGAGGUGGUCUUACCGUACACGAGGAGGACGUUGUGUAGAGGUGGUCUACACUAGGAGGACGUUGUGUAGAGGUGGUCUUACCGUACACGAGGAGGACGUUGUGUAGAGGUGGUCUUACCGUACACGAGGAGGACGUUGUGUAGAGGUGGUCUUACCGUACACGAGGAGGACGUUGUGUAGAGGUGGUCUACACUCGUCUCUAAUCCCUGCAGGAGAGACCUCUUCACCGGACCAGGAUAAGGUGCAGGAGAGACCUCUUCACCGGACCAGGAUAAGGUGCAGGAGAGACCUCUUCACUGGACCAGGAUAAGGUGCAGGAGAGACCUCUUCACUGGACAGGGAUAAGGUGCAGGAGAGACCUCUUCACUGGACAGGGAUAAGGUGCAGGAGAGACCUCUUCACUGGACCAGGAUAAGGUGCAGGAGAGACCUCUUCACCGGACCAGGAUAAGGUGCAGGAGAGACCUCUUCACCGGACCAGGAUAAGGUGCAGGAGAGACCUCUUCACCGGACCAGGAUAAGGUGCAGGAGAGACCUCUUCACUGGACAGGGAUAAGGUGCAGGAGAGACCUCUUCACGGGACCAGGAUAAGGUGCAGGAGAGACCUCUUCACUGGACAGGGAUAAGGUGCAGGAGAGACCUCUUCACUGGACAGGGAUAAGGUGCAGGAGAGACCUCUUCACGGGACCAGGAUAAACUCUACAUUAAUGCAGCACCCGUCUGAAAAAUCUGUCCAGUUGACUCACAGAACUUCUGUCAAGAGAUAUAACACCACAACAACGGCAGAACUUGAUGUUGUGUCCCACACAGACCAGAGGAACAGGGACUUCAGGACAUGGCAGAGCAGGGGGAAGCCCAGGGGACAGGAGAGGAACCACGAACACCCAACACGCCAUCCCUGAACCACCGGGGGACAGGAGAGGAACCACGAACACCCAACACGCCAUCCCUGAACCACCGGGGGACAGGGGGGACUUUCAGGGAGGGUCAAGAUGUGGAGAAGGGAGAAGUCAUAACCAGAUCCACGAGGGAGAAGAACGGUCGCUUCACCAACCCCUGGCCCACAUGGCACUACCCCUCCUCUGCCUCCCUGCUCCGGUUCUACCUACUAGAUAAGGACCACAGCAACGUACCCCGUUCCAA